AUAUAUGUAUACAUAAUAUACAUAUAUAAAUAAAGUAAGAAAUGUUUCUAUAAGGAGAUAAUACAGUAUACGCCGUAAUUUAAUAAAACAUUACAAAAAGUAAAUAAGUUAAAUAAUUUAUCAUAAAUAUAAAUAAAAGUUUAUAAAUUUUUAAAAUUCUACUAUGAAACUAUUUCAUAGAAUUGACCGGAAGUUUUUUCAUCGGAGUACCACACAGCACCACGUCAGUUAUUUCAUGUGUAGUGAGUGAUUCGGUUGAUUUUUACAUUGAGUGGUUUAAAUGUAUUUUUCUCACCGCCUUUUUCAAUUGUUAUUUUUUAUUUUUAUUUAAAAAUUUAUUUAUUUUAAAAUAAAUUCAAACAAAAUAAAUGACUAUAUAUACAUAUACAUAGUAUAAACAUUAGGUUAUAUAUUUUUAACAUGACUUUUUGCUCGAGAAGAUGAGGCUACAUCAUAGUAAUUGGAUUAUUUUUAUCAUAUUUUUAAUAAACAAUGGUUUCUUAUUUUGUAACAUUGCGGCUCAAGAAAUUUCUAAUCCGAUUCCUGAUGAUGGUAAUAGUGAUGAGGUAAUAAAUAAUAUAACUUCAAGUGACACUGGCCAAAGUAAACGAGAAACAUUAGAAUCUUUUUUAUUUUCAAAAAUUGAAUUGCCUGUUCGAGAAAACACUGAUGAAAAACGACAGGAUUUUAUGGAAAGUAAUGGCCCCGAUGAAACUCAUUAUCCUUUUCCAAGUGAAGAGACUAGCAGGACGAACAAUUUAGAUUCACUCAAAGAAAGUUUAACUCAACAACCAAAUCUAUCUCAAGGUAUUUCUGAACCUGAUCAAGAAGUGGUUUUAACGCUAAUUGACACAGCUUCGACGGAGCUUCAUCAUAUAGCUGAACCUCAUCUUUCAUCGAACCAUGAGCAAGCAUCAACAAACAAUCUCUCUCAAUCUAUAAUAUCUCCGGAUUUUGAAGGCAAUAUAAAAUCGUCCUUACCUGAAAGUUCAGCAAAAUUGAAAAUAUCAGAAGUUUCAACUACUAAUUUAACUGUAGAUAUAAAUAUUACUGGUUUUGAUGAAUCUUUAUCCACAGAACAAUCUGCAGGAUUACAAAAUGAUGAAGCCCUGUUGAUAGUCAGAGCGGAACAGAAGCCUAAAGAUUUUUUACAAACUCAUGAAAAUUCCCAAGUCGAUAAUCUUGACAAAGAAUCUUCUAUGUCUGGAGAGUUUGAAGAAAGAACAACACAAACUACUCUUGUUCCAGGAAGCUCUGAUGAAACAGCUGGAGUUAUAUUAGAUAGUUUCGUUGGAUCAGGUAAUUCUGAAAAUCACGAAGAUAUUCCGUCAUUUAGUGAGUGGGCUCAAAAGAGACUAGAAGAAGCUGAAAAAAAAAAAACUCAUCCAAAUGUGUCAAUACAAAAUCUUGGGAUACCAAAUCGUAGUGCCGGAAGUAUGAAAGUUAGGUCUAAAAACUACGCGUCACCUGAUUGUGGUGCUAAAAUAACUUCUGUGAAUCCUGAAGCACGAAGUGCUCGAAGUGUUUUAGUAUCUACAAGAGACGAAUAUAUGCUUAAUCCUUGCACUUCAAAAGUUUGGUUUAUAGUAGAACUUUGUGAAGCAAUUCAAGCAAAAAAAAUUGAACUUGCAAACUUUGAACUUUUUAGUUCAUCGCCAAAAGAUUUUUCGGUGUUUGUAAGCGAUAGAUUUCCUACCAGAGAUUGGAGUCCUGUAGGACAAUUUACUGCAAAAGAUGAACGAGACAUUCAGUCAUUCUCUCUUCAGCCUCAUCUCUUUGGAAAAUUUAUUAAAGUAGAACUUCAUUCUCAUUAUGGUAGUGAACAUUUUUGUCCAAUUUCGUUGUUUCGGGCUUAUGGAACUAGUGAAUUUGAAGUACUAGAAACAGAAACCGAAGUACAAGAAUCCUUGAAGGAUAAUAAUGAUGAUGAUGAAGAUGCUGAUGAUGAUGAUGAUGAAGAAGAUGAUGAUGAUAGUGAAGAUGAUGAUAAUAUUAAUAAUAGUGAUGAUAGUGAAAGUGAUAGUUUUCUUAGUGAAAAUAAUCAUGAUGGUAAUGAAUCCAAAAAUCUUUUUGGAAGUGCUAGAGAUGCAGUUAUUAGUAUUGUAAAAAAAGCUGCUGGAGUUUUAGUAAAAACAGAAGAUUUAAGUUUAAAUAAUAUUACUAAAAUUAAAACAAACAUUGUAAAUAAUAUCAACAACGUAUUUUUAAAUUGCAUGACACCAAGAUACACAAUUUUGUGUAACAAUUGUACUGAUAAUUAUUUUGCAAAAGUUUAUGAACUUAUUAGUUGUCAAUUGCAAUACCUUAAUUCUAUUCUUAAAAUAACUUUUAUUAAUCGAACUAUAGCGGAAAGUGAAUUAUGUGGAUUUAAUGGAGUGAAUUUAAAUUUAAAUAUAAAUAAUUCAAUUGUAAAAAAGAAAACUAAAAAUGUUAAUAUUGUCAAAAAUCGUUCUAUUUCAUUUUUAAUGUCUAUUUUUAAACCUGAAUAUGUUGUUGCUCUUUGUAAUAUUUUUAUGAUGAAAGAGCAAAAACUUUCUUUGAACUCUAGUUUUGUUUUCUCAAGUAACUUAUCAAUGAAUGAUGUAACACCGGAAAUAAUUUCUUUAUCAUCUGAAUCUAAUGCAAAAGUGCAUCAAAUGUCAAUGACAUGUUCAUCUGAUUCUGUAAACUGUAAAUCGUCAGUAAGUUAUCUUAAAGAGUCUCAAUGCCAUUCACAAGAAACUUUUAUAAAAGACCAUAUAUUGAGGACAGAGCUUAAAAAUUCAAAAAUACUCAAUCCAUCGGAGUCUAAAGAUAUUAAUGAUAAGGGAACUUUACAUAUUACACCUACUAAGACUUUAGUUAAAGAAAAUAUAGAAAAAAAAUCUGCUGCUUCAAUCCUAGAACCAAGUAAAAGUCCUGUAGAAGAAACCAUACAAGCAGAAGUUAUAAUUCCUAUUCCAUUAACAAAUUCUGAGAUCGGUACAUUUAAAGUUUCUGAAGAACUCUCGUUAACGGAUACACCAAUAGAAUUAUCAACUCCGACAUUAAUUUCUCAAAGUAUAAAACAUGAAGAGAAUACUUAUAAGUCAAAUACAUUAAAUAGUGAUAAAGAAAUGACGAAACUUGAUUCUAAAAUUGUAACCAGAGUGUUAGAAGAAAAAGAUGAAAAGUCAAAAGAAAAAGAUCAAGAUGAUAUUAAAUUAACUCCUCAAGAUCAACUAAGUCUAGAUACUCUACUUCUAGAUUUAAAAGCUUUAGAAAAUGAUGCAUCAAUCCAGGGAUCAACUGCAUCAACCGUGAACCAACCAGCGACUAGCUCAACUCAUCAACAAAAGGAAUCUGUUUUCUUAAGAUUAUCAAAUAGGAUUAAGACUUUAGAACGAAAUAUGUCAUUAUCAGGCCAGUAUUUAGAAGAAUUGAGUCGUCGUUAUAAGAAACAAGUCGAAGAAAUGCAACGUUCACUCGAACGGGCUACUGCUACUAUAGGCGAAGAAUUAAAAAAAAGUGAAGAAAGAGAAUCGAAACGUUUAGAAGAAAUUACGGCACUUCGAGAAGAAAUAUCGAGUUUGACUGAAUCAGUAGAAACACUUUUAUAUGAUAAAAAUAGUUGGAAAAAUAAAUUAACAACAUUCGGUCAACAUAUAGUUUUAAUUUUUGUUGAAAUCACGAUUCUUAUAAUAAUUAUUUCAUUUUGCCGGAAACCAAACGAUUUAGAAAAUGUUACGGCAAAAAAAAAUGUUUCAGAUAAAGGAAUUACACGAAGAAAAAGUGCUGAGUUAAUAACAACAGGUUCCAUUAACAAAAGAUAUAGAAGACCUAGUGAAAUAGUUUCACGAAUUAAAGGAACCUAUAAAGAAUUGAUGAUUGAUGAAAGGUUAGAUUCAAGAAAAGAGAGGAAAAAAAAACGAAAAAGAGAUUCUUUGAUAAGAUUAUCGUCAAAUAUCGAAGUAAAUAAAAGCAUUAUACCAAAAACAACUUUUUUAAAACAAUCUUCAUCGAUAGAUUGUUCUACUUUUGAAAAUUUAGAUAUUAGUCAAAUUAAAAAAACUGAUUUAACGUCAGAUAUUACUAGCUCUCCAUUAAAAAAUCAGUCAUUGACUCAUAACGACGAUAAUGCUGUAAAUAAUAUAUCAAAAAAUCGGAUAGCCAUAGAUGAAAUCGAUACCGCAUCAUUAGAUAUAAUAGUAAAUAAAUCUAUCAGUAAUCAAGAUUCACCAGAUAUUUAUGAUGAUUUUGAUAAUGAAAUUUCAAAAAGCUCUCCAAGGGGUUUUAAAAUUUUAAAAAAUGCUAAACUUCAUUCUCCAUCUUUUAUGAAAACUGCAUUUCGUUCUCGAAGUAAAAGGGAAAAGUCAGAACAUAAUAAUUCGCAGCCUACUCAAUUAAUUUCUGAUAAUUGGGAAAGUUAUUCUCGUACUUCUGGAAGUUCGAGAUCAGGCCAAGAUAGUCCAUCAAGUUUAAAUGCAUUUUCAGAUUUAACUUCUGUAAAUAUAAAUGGAAAUUCUACUAGAAAUAAUGGACAUAAUAUUGCCAGUGAUUAUUCUGCUAACGGUCACAUAACAUCUACGUCUGAGAUAAAAAUAAAAAAGGAAGGAAGUCUGAGAAAAAUGGUUAAGAAAUUAUUUUGAUUGAUUAAUCUUCAUACGUCAAAUAAAAUCAUCUGGAUUCUAAGUACGCCUAAAAAAAUUGGCAAUAAAUUUGCAAAUUUUUUAUGUGUACUGAUGAUACUAUUGAAUCAAGCAGCAACUUUAGUAAAUACUAUCAGUAUCUUCAUGUAAAAAGAUUACGGAACCUGUAACUGGAUAAAUGAAGAAAGAAAAUAAAUACUGUGAUAUAUCGCCAUACAAUAAAAUUUAAAAAAGCAGUGGAAAGAUAAUUCUAUAGCUAAGGACUCAUAGAAAAAAGGAAAAUAAUUACAAGAAAAAUCAGUUGAUCGAAAAGAAAUUAAAUGAUAAGAUAUAUAUAAAAUAAAUAAGAUAUAAUCUUUAAAUAAUCGUAAUAUCUUAUAAUUUACUUUGCAUUUAUAGAAUAAUCUGUAAGUGAAUAAUUUUAGUUAUAAAUAACUGAUUAAGAUAAAAUAGUAUAAGAGAUUGAAAAUAAGCAGAAGAUUAUUAAUUUAAUAAAUUAGAUAAUUAUUAAAUUAAUACUGAUUUUUCAUUUUGUUACUAUUGUUAAUCACUUGUUAUGAUAUUUAUAUUCGUAGUUUUUGUAUUGAUUUUAAUAAAUUACUUACAAAACUUUAUUAAAAUUGAUUAGUUUUCCAUUCGUUUUAAAACAUAUUAUUUGUAAAGAUGUAAAAUUGUGAGUAGCAGAGUUUAUGAGUCAAUUUUUAAAAAAGAAUUUUUACAUUUAAUUACGAAAAAUAUGAAAAAACCUAAUUAGAUUACUUAUAGAAAUGCAGUAGAGAAAUUAUGAGUGAUUCUGUAUUUUACAGUUGAUAUUUGCUUCAUAAUCUUGCUAUUAAAUAAUAAGAUUCCAUUUUUGUUUAAGAUAAAAACAACUUUGUAAAUAUUAAUAUCUACGAUUACGAAAGAUUCUUAAUAACUUAAUGAGACAAAAUAAUAUGAAGAAUUGGAUAUAAAAUAUCCAUAUACUUGAAUAUUCAUUAUUUUCAUAGGCUGUUAUGUUAUUUAUUUGCGACUGAAAAAAAAUUGUAAAAUUAAUAAUGCAAUGGUAUUGUUAAUUUACGUAAAAUAAAUUAAUAUAAAAAAGAAUAAAGUA